rnacentral:rRNA from 1 species
UACGUAGGGGGCUAGCGUUGUCCGGAUUUAUUGGGCGUAAAGAGCGUGUAGGCGGCCAGGUAGGUCGGUUGUGAAAACUGGAGGCUCAACCUUCAGAGGUCGACCGAAACCAUCUGGCUAGAGUCCGGGAGAGGAGAGUGGAAUUCCUGGUGUAGCGGUGAAAUGCGCAGAUAUCAGGAGGAACACCGGUGGCGAAGGCAGCCCCCUGGGCUAACACUGACGCUGAUGCACGAAAGCGUGGGGAGCAAACAGG